GACCCCAGGUCAGGCGGGGCCACCCGCUGAGUUUA
rnacentral:rRNA from 2 species